rnacentral:rRNA from 1 species
AAUAGAUACCCAGGUAGUCCACGCCGUAAACGAUGAGUGCUAAGUGUUAGAGGGUUUCCGCCCUUUAGUGUUGCAGCUAACGCAUUAAGCACUCCGCCUGGGGAGUACGGCCGCAAGGCUGAAACUCAAAGGAAUUGACGGGGGCCCGCACAAGCGGUGGAGCAUGUGGUUUAAUUCGAAGCAACGCGAAGAACCUUACCAGGUCUUGACAUCCUCUGCCAACCCUAGAGAUAGGGCGUUCCCCUUCGGGGGGACAGAGUGACAGGUGGUGCAUGGUUGUCGUCAGCUCGUGUCGUGAGAUGUUGGGUUAAGUCCCGCAACGAGCGCAACCCUUGAUCUUAGUUGCCAGCAUUCAGUUGGGCACUCUAAGGUGACUGCCGGUGACAAACCGGAGGAAGGUGGGGAUGACGUCAAAUCAUCAUGCCCCUUGUGACCUGGGCUACACACGUGCUACAAUGGAUGGUACAAAGAGCUGCGAACCCGCGAGGGUAAGCGAAUCUCAUAAAGCCAUUCUCAGUUCGGA